GCCAAAGUUCGAGAAGUCAUUAAGCUGAGUAAAAACAGACUAAGGAAGUCGAUGCUCUCCUUCUUGGUCAAGUAGACAAUGGAUAUGUGGGGACUACAGUGGUGAACAAGCAGAAACAGUAUCUCACCUCAGAAAUGUGAUCCUCUAGUGUGGAAGACACACAUCAAAUGACUAGCAUUUUCAAAACUAAGAUGCUUGAGUCAUUUUACAUCAUCACCAUUGUAAACACUUCUAUGGAUGUAGACAUAUCUAAGUCUCUGCAUUCAAUUCUCUCAGUAUCACCAGCUGUCUCGUGCUCAGCAGCCCUGAUGGCCCUGACCUUCAAUCUGCAAAGCAAAGCGACCCAUCCUUCCUUCAGUUGCUCCUGGCCACGUUCUUGUGCCGAUAUCGUUCGGCCUCGAUACUAAGCUCUGAUGGGUUUUCGCUGUCCUCUCCCAGCAAGGUACAUCUCGCUCGGAUGCAACUCUUUACACACCCCCACAAUCAUUCAUCUAAAUAGCGCCUAAGACCCGUUGACUCAAUUGGAGUUUAUAGAUACACCAUCAUGUCUGCCAAAAUGGUGAAUGUACUUUCUUCUUUCCAUUGUUACCCAGCUCCUAAGAACCUCCACGGGCC